UCAAAGCUUAUUCCCAGACCUCCUAUUUAUAGAUGAAUUUUUUAUAAUUUUUUGAUAAAAAAAGGAGUCCUAAAAUCCUUAGAAAUCAUACUAAUCCCCUUAGGAAUAUUUCUGACCAUCGGAUCAACUUCGGACCACCCAGAUCUGAUCAAAAUCCAUAGUUUUAAUCCUUAUCAAAGUCGGAUUGAACUACAGCCAUCCGAUCACGCUUGGGAUUGGUUUUGGGCCAUCGGAUUGUGUAAUUUAAAUCCUUAACACAGUCGGGAGCAUCCUCAGCCGUCCGAUCGCAUGAUGGAUCACUUCUGGACCGUCGAAUCACGCAAAACCCCUAUUAUAAAUCGACAAUGGAUGCUGACCGUCGGAUCUGGAUCGGGAUGAAUUUCAGCCAUUGGAUCGCAUCCAGAAUCCUUCUCUCGCUGUGAGCCGCGUCUGUGGACCGCGUGAAGUUUCCUAUGGAUCGGGCCCUGGCUCUAUGGACCGAGCGACCGGUCCACCGUGCAUCAGAGGUAAUAUUUUUUAUUUUUAAGAUAUUUUGGCUCGAUUUUUGCCUGAAAAAUAGAAAAAAAAUAUGCAUUAAAUUCUUCAAAAUUUUUUCAUC
rnacentral:lncRNA from 1 species